UCCGAGAAAGAGAAAGUACUCUGCCGUGUGGGAUCAUUUUGACCUUAUAUCACCUGAUAAGGUAAUUUCUUUGUACUUCGUUCCAAUUUAAAUGGCUGACAAAAUCUGUAGUGUAUAUUUUUAUGAUCCACAGGUUAAAUGUCGUCUGUGUUCAACGGAGUUGUCUUAUGCAACCCGAAACACAUCAUCAAUGCUACGGCAUUAUAAAGCUCGUCAUGAAAGAGAAGACAAUACACCAGGAAUGGAUACUGCCUCUAGAAAACAGGCCCUCAAUCGAUGCAUUAUAAAUAUGAUAAUCAAAGAUUGCCAACCUUUAAGCAUCGUUGAGGACGAGGGAUUCAGGGAGAUGCUCCAGACUCUUGAGCCAUCAUACGCAAUACCAACCAGAAAGGCUCUAAAGGAAAUGGUUUCUGAGAGAUAUGCAGCAGAAACCCAGAACAUUAAGGAAAAAUUACACUCCACCAAUGCAAUCAGCCUUACAGCAGAUAUGUGGACUUCAGUAAACAUGGAGGCCUACUUGGCUGUGACUGGCCACUUCUUUGACACUGAAAAUAAAAUGUGCACCACUGUGCUGGGAGUUAAAUAUUUUCCCAAGAGCCACACAGCAGAGAAUAUUGCUGAGGUCACACAAGAUCUGAUUGACAGCUGGGCCAUCACAGGGAAGGUUGCACGCUUUGUAACUGAUGCCGGGGCAAAUAUGAUCGCGUCUGCAAGACUAUUAAAAAUCG